rnacentral:rRNA from 1 species
UACGUAGGGUGCAAGCGUUAAUCGGAAUUACUGGGCGUAAAGCGUGCGCAGGCGGUUCGGAAAGAGAGGUGUGAAAUCCCAGGGCUUAACCUUGGAACUGCACUUUUAACUACCGGGCUAGAGUACGUCAGAGGGGGGUAGAAUUCCACGUGUAGCAGUGAAAUGCGUAGAGAUGUGGAGGAAUACCGUUGGCGAAGGCAGCCCCCUGGGAUGAUACUGACGCUCAUGCACGAAAGCGUGGGGAGCAAACAGG